AACGAACGCUGGCGGCAGGCCUAACACAUGCAAGUCGAGCGAGGACUUCGGUUCUAGCGUCGUACGGGUGAGUAACGCGUGGGAAUGUUCCCUUCUCUACGGCCUAGCCCUGGGAAACUGGUAGUAAUACCGUAUACGCCCUAUUGCGGAAGGAUUUAUCGGACAAGGAGGAGCGCGCGUUGGAUUCGGUAGUUGUUUGGGUAAUGGCCUACCAGGCCGACGAUCCAUAGCUGGUUUGAGAGAAUGGUCACCGACACUGGGACUAGGACACGGCCCAGAAUCCUACGGGAAGGAGGAGAGGGGAAUGUUAGAAAACGGGGGGAAUGAUGAACGAGUCAGGACGGGUGAGUGAUGAAGGCAGUAAGGAAGUAAAGCUCAAUCAGCUGGGAAGAUAAUGACGGUACCAGAAGAAGAAGCCACGGCUAACUACGUG
rnacentral:rRNA from 1 species